rnacentral:rRNA from 1 species
UACGUAGGGGGGCUAGCGUUGUCCGGAAUCAUUGGGCGUAAAGAGCGUGUAGGCGGCCCGGUAAGUCCGCUGUAAAAGUCAAAGGCUCAACCUUUGAAUGUCAGUGGAUACUGCCGGGCUAGAGUCCGGAAGAGGCGAGUGGAACUCCUGGUGUAGCGGUGGAAUGCGCAGAUAUCAGGAAGAACACCAACGGCGAAGGCAGCUCGCUGGGACGGUACUGACGCUGAGACGCGAAAGCGUGGGGAGCGAACAGG